AACAUUUCCUAUGCAUUUAUAUCUUAGGUAAACCCUGCCCAGUGUAUAUAAACGGCCGCGGUACCCUUGACCGUGCAAAGGUAGCAUAAUCAAUUGCCUCCUAAUUAGUGGCUAGUAUGAAUGGGUAAACACAGUUAAUACUGUUUAAAUUUGAUAUUAAAAUUAGAUGCUUAGUGAAAAUACUAAGAAACUCAGAAAGACAAAAAGACCCUAUCGAGCUAUAUUUAAUAUAUAAUAUAAUUUGUUGGGGCAACAAAGGAUAAUACUAUACAUCCUUAAAUUUUACCAAAAUGACGCAAAAUUUACAAAAAGAAAAGCUACCGUAGGGAUAACAGACUUAUUUUUUCUGAGAGCUCAAAUUGACGAAAAAGAUUAGCACCUCGAUGUUGGCUCAGGAUUACUAGUGCACGCAGCAUUGUACCAAGUGGGUUUGUUCACCCUUUAAACUCCUACGUGAUCUGA
rnacentral:rRNA from 1 species